GACGAACGCUGGUGGCGUGCUUAACACAUGCAAGUCGAACGCAGUUGCGAACGGGUGAGUAACGCGUAGGUAACUGCCUGGUAGCGGGGGAUAACUAUUGGAAACGAUAGCUAAUACCGCAUACUACCAGAUGGACCUGCGUUGUAUUAGCUAGUUGGUGAGGUAACGGCUCACCAAGGCAACGAUACAUAGCCGACCUGGGAGGGUGGUCGGGCAACCUGGGACUGGAGCACGGGCCAGACUCCUAAGGGAAGCAGCAGUAGGGAAUCUUCGGCAAAGGGGGGAACGCCGACCGAGCAACGGCGCGUGGAUGGAGAAGGUUUUCGGGACGUAAAGCUCUGUUGUUAAGGAAGCGGUACUUAACCAGAAAGGGACGGCUAACUACGUGCCAGCCGCCGCGGUAAUAC
rnacentral:rRNA from 1 species